GUGGGGAAUCUUCCGCAAUGGACGAAAGUCUGACGGAGCAACGCCGCGUGAGUGAAGAAGGUUUUCGGAUCGUAAAGCUCUUUCGUUAGGGACGAACGUGCUCUUUGUGAAUAAUGAGGAGUAAUGACGGUACCUAAAUAAGAAGCCACGGCUAACUACGUGCCAGCAGCCGCGGUAAUACGUAGGUGGCAAGCGUUGUCCGGACUUAUUGGGCGUAAAGCGCGCGCAGGCGGGAUAUCAAGUCUGUCUUAAAAGUGCGAGGCUCAACCUCGUGAGGGGACAGAAACUGGUAUUCUUGAGUGUCGGAGAGGAAAGUGGAAUUCCGGGUGUAGCGGUGAAAUGCGUAGAGAUUUGGAAGAACACCAGUGGCGAAGGCGACUUUCUGGACGAUGUCUGACGCUGAGGCGCGAAAGCUAGGGGAGCGAACGGGAUUAGAUACCCGUGUAGUCC
rnacentral:rRNA from 1 species